UACGUAGGGUGCAAGCGUUAAUCGGAAUUACUGGGCGUAAAGCGUGCGCAGGCGGUUUUGUAAGUCUGUCGUGAAAGCCCCGGGCUCAACCUGGGAAUUGCGAUGGAGACUGCAAGGCUUGAAUCUGGCAGGAGGGGGGUAGAAUUCCACGUGUAGCAGUGAAAUGCGUAGAGAUGUGGAGGAACACCGAUGGCGAAGGCAGCCCCCUGGGUCAAGAUUGACGCUCAUGCACGAAAGCGUGGGGAGCAAACAGG
rnacentral:rRNA from 1 species